rnacentral:tRNA from 1 species
GGAGAGUGAAGGGUGCCUGGUGGCCCUCGCGGUCUUCAAAACCGUUGUCGAUCUUGCACAUGCAGGACCGAGGUAGGUUCGAUUCCUAUCCUCUCC